rnacentral:lncRNA from 1 species
UAGGAUACCCCAAUCCCAGUGACGAAAUACCAUCACUUGAAGACUUUGAGGAUUUAGUUGUUGCUGUUGUAGUA